AUUGAACGCUGGCGGAAUGCUUUACACAUGCAAGUCGAACGGUAGAGGGGGCAACCCCUUGAGAGUGGCGAACGGGUGAGUAAUAUAUCGGAACGUGCCCAGUCUUCGGGGAUAACGUAGCGAAAGUUACGCUAAUACCGCAUACGAUCUAAGGAUGAAAGCGGGGGAUCGCACGACCUCGCGCGACUGGCGCGGCCGAUAUCAGAUUAGGUAGUUGGUAGGGUAAAGGCCUACCAAGCCAACGAUCUGUAGCUGGUCUGAGAGGACGACCAGCCACACUGGAACUGAGACACGGUCCAGACUCCUACGGGAGGCAGCAGUGGGGAAUUUUGGACAAUGGGCGAAAGCCUGAUCCAGCCAUUCCGCGUGCAGGAUGAAGGCCCUCGGGUUGUAAACUGCUUUUGUACAGAACGAAAAGGUUUCUAUUAAUACUAGGAGCUCAUGACGGUACUGAAAGAAUAAGCACCGGCUAACUACGUG
rnacentral:rRNA from 1 species